GACGAACGCUGGCGGCGUGCUUAACACAUGCAAGUCGAACGGUAAGGCCCUUCGGGGUACACGAGUGGCGAACGGGUGAGUAACACGUGGGUGAUCUGCCCUGCACUUCGGGAUAAGCCUGGGAAACUGGGUCUAAUACCGGAUAGGACCCUGGGAUGCAUGUCCUGGGGUGGAAAGCUUUUGCGGUGUGGGAUGGGCCCGCGGCCUAUCAGCUUGUUGGUGGGGUGAUGGCCUACCAAGGCGACGACGGGUAGCCGGCCUGAGAGGGUGACCGGCCACACUGGGACUGAGAUACGGCCCAGAUUCCUACGGGAGACAGCAGUGGGGAAUAUUGCACAAUGGGCGCAAGCCUGAUGCAGCGACGCCGCGUGAGGGAUGACGUCCUUCGGGUUGUAAACCUCUUUCAGCACCGACGAAGCGCAAGUGACGGUAGGUGCAGAAGAAGGACCGGCCAACUACGUGCCAGCAGCCGCCGUAA
rnacentral:rRNA from 1 species